rnacentral:misc_RNA from 1 species
AAGUCGUAACAAGGUUUCCGUAGGUGAACCUGCGGAAGGAUCAUUACUGAAGCAAAGCGUCAUGUUUUUCAUUCUUGAAGAAUCAUGAUUGCCAAGCCUACCCAUUGUGAACCUAUGAUCUUGCUUGCUUGGCACUAAAACUUGUUUUGGUGUCAGCAUUAAUGCUUUGGUAGUUUCGACUACCUAGCGCUGAUAAAUUUAUGCCUACAAAAGAACCCAAGUGACUGAUGUCUUCAAUGAAAAAUUGAAAGUACAACUUUUAGCAACGGAUCUCUAGGCUCUU